ACCAAACCUAGCCCAAAAACCACCCAACGCAACCACCACAUGACAAUCAAACAAACCAUUUACCCCACAUUUAAAGUAUAGGAGAUAGAAAUUCUUAUAUUGGCGCUAUAGAAAAAGUACCGUAAGGGAAAGAUGAAAGACCACUCCACAGUAUAAAACAGCAAAGACUAACACUUGUACCUUUUGCAUAAUGAGUUAACCAGAACACCCUUGGCAAAGAGCACUUCAGUCAAGCACCCCGAAACCAGACGAGCUACUUACGGACAGUAACAGAACCAACUCGUCUAUGUUGCAAAAUAGUGAGAAGAUCUGUAAGUAGAGGUGAAAAGCCAACCGAGCCUGGUGAUAGCUGGUUGCCCAAGACAGAAUAUUAGUUCAACUUAAAAUUUACCCCAAGAACCUGCCUAAACCAAUCCUACUGUAAAUUUUAAAUAUAGUCAAUAGGGGUACAGCUCUAUUGAAGCAAGGACUAAACCUAAGUCAGAGAGUAAGCCACACACACUUAUCCAUUGUUGGCCCAAAAGCAGCCACCAAUAAAGAUAGCGUUCAAGCUCAAAUAAACAACACCAACACAAAUCCCACAAACGACCUGGCCACCUCCUGACACCUAACACUGGGCCAAUCUAUUACUAAAUAGAAGAGACAAUGUUAACAUCAGUAACAAGAAUUUUUUCUCCUGAGCGUAAGCUUACGUCAGAACGGAUACCCCACUGACAAUUAACAGCAAGGCAACUACAAACCACUAAAUAAUACCAUUCCACAGUCACUGUUAACCCAACACAGGUACGCACACCGGAAAGAUCUAAAGAAAUGGAAGGAACUCGGCAAACACGAAUCCCGCCUGUUUACCAAAAACAUCACCUCUAGCAUUACAACUAUUAGAGGCACUGCCUGCCCAGUGACACAUGUUCAACGGCCGCGGUACCCUGACCGUGCAAAGGUAGCAUAAUCACUUGUUCUCUAAUUAAGGACCUGUAUGAAUGGCCAAACGAGGAUUCAACUGUCUCCCAUUUCCAAUCAGUGAAAUUGACCUUCCCGUGAAGAGGCGGGAAUAACCAUAUAAGACGAGAAGACCCUGCGGAGCUUAAAUUAACCGGCUCAAUCAACGACCACCCAACACCCAACAUGGAACAAACACCCGUACCAUGAGCCGUCAAUUUCGGUUGGGGUGACCUCGGAGCAGAACAAAACCUCCGAAUGAUAAGCACCAAGACUCACAAGUCAAAGUCCACCAUAUCACUUAUUGACCCAAAGUAUUGAUCAACGGAACCAGUUACCCCAGGGAUAACAGCGCAAUCCUAUUCUAGAGCCCAUAUCGACAAUAGGGUUUACGACCUCGAUGUUGGAUCAGGACACCCAAAUGGUGCAGCCGCUAUUAAAGGUUCGUUUGUUCAACGAUUAAAGUCCUACGUGAUCUGAGUUCAGACCGGAGCAAUCCAGGUCGGUUUCUAUCUAUAACUAAUUUCUCCCAGUACGAAAGGACAAGAGAAAUGGGGCCAACCUUAUACACGCACCCUAAACAUAAUGGAUGAAACUAAUCUAAAUCCAGACAACUUACACCAACCAAUGCUCAAACCCAGAGCUAC
rnacentral:rRNA from 1 species